GACGAACGCUGGCGGCGCGCCUAACACAUGCAAGUCGAACGGAGCUGAGAGAAGCUUGCUUUUCUUAGCUUAGUGGCGAACGGGUGAGUAACGCGUGAGUAACCUGCCCUGGAGUGGGGGACAACAGUUGGAAACGACUGCUAAUACCGCAUAAGCCCACGAUCCGGCAUCGGAUUGAGGGAAAAGGAUUUAUUCGCUUCAGGAUGGACUCGCGUCCAAUUAGCUAGUUGGUGAGGUAACGGCCCACCAAGGCGACGAUUGGUAGCCGGACUGAGAGGUUGAGCGGCCACAUUGGGACUGAGACACGGCCCAGACUCCUACGGGAGGCAGCAGUGGGGGAUAUUGCACAAUGGGGUAAACCCUGAUGCAGCGACGCCGCGUGGAGGAAGAAGGUUUUCGGAUUGUAAACUCCUGUCGUUAGGGACGAUGAUGACGGUACCUAACAAGAAAGCACCGGCUAACUACGUG
rnacentral:rRNA from 1 species